rnacentral:tRNA from 1 species
UGCAGCGAGUCACGGCUUGGAAUGCGCUCAUAACCCAAAGGUCGAGGGUUCAAAUCCCUCCCCCGCAACCA